rnacentral:lncRNA from 1 species
UUUUUGCUGUUUGCUCUCUGUGUUCUGCCUUUGGCCCACCAUUUAGGUAAAAGCCAGGAGACGAAGGAAGGAAAUGAGCAAACUCACUACUGUGUUGCUCCUUCUUCAAGUUUUGACUUCCUUCCGCAAAUCCCCUGCUCUUGUUUACUUUUCAGAGUCCUCGGGUAUUUUGUAUUCUGUCCAGAGUCUUUAGCCGUAAUUAAUGGGACGAAUAAGCUAAAGUGGGCUCACUCCAUCUUUGCUGGCAUCUGAAGCUUGGGAUUUGUUUUGAAUCAGCCUUCAACCCAGCCACACUACCCAGUACCUGCUGGUUCCCCGGCUCCUUCCUCUCCUCUUUACCUUCCACUGUGAUGAAGCGGCCCAUUGACUUCUAGGCACUUGACUUAUCUGCUUAGUGUCUUGGCCUUCGCUGGCAUUCUCCCUCCUGUGGGACAGCUCUUCAAACUCCCUCUCCAGGAGAGCCCAUCGUGAGUCAGACUUAGUGGCCAUAAAAGACGAGACAGGACAGGGUGAGGGCUAAGGGAACGAACCCGGACAUCGAGGUGGCUCAAAGUGCACUGGAGAUUUUAACCCUGAAGAUCUCUCCAGACUGUUUAGAAUGAGAGGUGCUGGAGGAUAACCCCCUGCCCAAAAUGGCCUGAACCAUGGCUGUGGAGAAGACAGCGUCCUGUUUCUUGCUGACUGGAGGGUGUCUCUGCAGCAGAACAGAAAGAACGUCAGCGGAACAGAAAGGAGUCCCUGCUUUCAGAGGUGGCACAAAGCUCCAGAAUCACCACGGGCUUUGUGCUGGGUCAGCUGGCACCCACCUGGCAGGUAAUGAGGCAUGGGCACUGACCAGUGAGACUGAUGUUGGUCUUGGGGGCGGGAGCGGGGUCAGGGUCCUGAACAGCCUGAGGGGCCACUCCUUAGCCCAUUAGUUGCAUUGGGGGUAGGUCUAGGUGGGAAUCAAUUGAGAGCCUUGGGACGCCAGCUGUUUACUAACUCAACCUUUUAUAACCUGCACGGCCACACCAGAGGAUAUCAGGCAAACACUGGCCUUGUUGGCAAGCCCCUAACCAGAAUGACUUCCAGGUUUUAGGAAGAACAAGAGCGUUCGUUUGAAUAGAUGGUCUGAGAAGCAAGCUCCUAGAUGGAGCAUCAAGUGGAACGCCCAUCCCACAGGUGGAUUUCUCUCUCUCUCUCUCUCUCUGUUUCUCUCUCUCUUUCCUGAACAUGAAUUCCCCUCUGGUUUCUGCUGCUUCUUUGACUCUUAUCUUGUGUUACAUGUGUUUUUUUCUCUAAGUAUGUGGAUAGCCUUCUCAACUAGGUUGGACCUUUGUGUUAGUUCCGUUGCUGCCAAGCGACUCCAAAAUGUAGCAACUUAAUAAGUAUUUGUUAUCUCGCUUGGUCACUGAGGGUCAGAAAUCUGCGAGCAGCUUAACGCAGGGGUCUGGCCCAGGCCUCUCCCGAGGUCGCAGUCAAGCUGUCAGCCAAGACUGACUGCUGUCAUCUGAAGGCUGGACUGGGGCUGGAGAAUCAGCUUCCAUGCUCACUCCCCUGGCUGCGGCAGGAACCUUUAGUUCCUAAGUUCCUCUCUGUGCCUCACCAUGUGGGACUCUCCACAGGGCAGCAUGGCAGCAGGCUUCCAUGAGUGAGCAAUCCAAGAGACAGCAAGACAGAAGCCAACGUCUUUAAUAACCUAGAUUCUGAGUGGCACACCAUCGCUUUGGUCCUAUACUGUUGGCCACACAGACCGACCCUGAUACAAUGUGGGAGGGAUCCACACAAGGAAGCAGGCACCAGGAAACAGCAUUAUUGAGAGCCAUCUCAAAGGCUGCCUGGCUACCAUGAGCCUCCUCUGAGAGACGGCUGCUUCGGACACAUCUUUUCACUGCCAAUAUUUGACACAGGUCUGGUCAGGUAGGAGGUGCCCAAUGAGGUUUGUUGAUGAUGAAGAGAUGUUGGGCACUCACCAUAAGCUGGAAUUAAAUGAAAAGUCCUCCUGAGGAUGAGGCAUAAUCAGAAAUAUUUCUUAAUAGACAUAAUUAAUACUGCAGAAUAUUUUUCUGAUUUUCAAUUGUUUUCAUUUAUAUUAAUAAAGUAAGGCUUGGGCCUAAGUAGGAUAAAAUU